rnacentral:rRNA from 1 species
GUGCCAGCAGCCGCGGUAAUACGGAGGGUGCAAGCGUUGUCCGGAAUCACUGGGCGUAAAGGGCGCGUAGGCGGCCUGGUAAGUAGGAAGUGAAAUCCUGCGGCUUAACCGCAGGGCUGCCUUCUAAACUGUCAGGCUUGAGCACGGUAGAGGCAGAUGGAAUUCCCGAUGUAGCGGUGGAAUGCGUAGAAAUCGGGAAGAACAUCAGUGGCGAAGGCGGUCUGCUGGGCCGUUGCUGACGCUGAGGCGCGACAGCGUGGGGAGCAAACAGGAUUAGAUACCCGAGUAGUCC